GGGUUGUGAGGUUAAGCGACUAAGCGUACACGGUGGAUGCCCUGGCAGUCAGAGGCGAUGAAGGACGUGCUAAUCUGCGAUAAGCGUCGGUAAGGUGAUAUGAACCGUUAUAACCGGCGAUUUCCGAAUGGGGAAACCCAGUGUGUUUCGACACACUAUCAUUAACUGAAUCCAUAGGUUAAUGAGGCGAACCGGGGGAACUGAAACAUCUAAGUACCCCGAGGAAAAGAAAUCAACCGAGAUUCCCCCAGUAGCGGCGAGCGAACGGGGAGCAGCCCAGAGCCUGAAUCAGUGUGUGUGUUAGUGGAAGCGCCUGGAAAGGCGCGCGAUACAGGGUGACAGCCCCGUACACAAAAAUGCACAUACUGUGAGCUCGAUGAGUAGGGCGGGACACGUGGUAUCCUGUCUGAAUAUGGGGGGACCAUCCUCCAAGGCUAAAUACUCCUGACUGACCGAUAGUGAACCAGUACCGUGAGGGAAAGGCGAAAAGAACCCCGGCGAGGGGAGUGAAAAAGAACCUGAAACCGUGUACGUACAAGCAGUGGGAGCACGCUUCGGCGUGUGACUGCGUACCUUUUGUAUAAUGGGUCAGCGACUUAUAUUCUGUAGCAAGGUUAACCGAAUAGGGGAGCCGAAGGGAAACCGAGUCUUAACUGGGCGUUAAGUUGCAGGGUAUAGACCCGAAACCCGGUGAUCUAGCCAUGGGCAGGUUGAAGGUUGGGUAACACUAACUGGAGGACCGAACCGACUAAUGUUGAAAAAUUAGCGGAUGACUUGUGGCUGGGGGUGAAAGGCCAAUCAAACCGGGAGAUAGCUGGUUCUCCCCGAAAGCUAUUUAGGUAGCGCCUCGUGAACUCAUCUUCGGGGGUAGAGCACUGUUUCGGCAAGGGGGUCAUCCCGACUUACCAACCCGAUGCAAACUGCGAAUACCGGAGAAUGUUAUCACGGGAGACACACGGCGGGUGCUAACGUCCGUCGUGAAGAGGGAAACAACCCAGACCGCCAGCUAAGGUCCCAAAGUCAUGGUUAAGUGGGAAACGAUGUGGGAAGGCCCAGACAGCCAGGAUGUUGGCUUAGAAGCAGCCAUCAUUUAAAGAAAGCGUAAUAGCUCACUGGUCGAGUCGGCCUGCGCGGAAGAUGUAACGGGGCUAAACCAUGCACCGAAGCUGCGGCAGCGACACUAUGUGUUGUUGGGUAGGGGAGCGUUCUGUAAGCCUGUGAAGGUGUGCUGUGAGGCAUGCUGGAGGUAUCAGAAGUGCGAAUGCUGACAUAAGUAACGAUAAAGCGGGUGAAAAGCCCGCUCGCCGGAAGACCAAGGGUUCCUGUCCAACGUUAAUCGGGGCAGGGUGAGUCGACCCCUAAGGCGAGGCCGAAAGGCGUAGUCGAUGGGAAACAGGUUAAUAUUCCUGUACUUGGUGUUACUGCGAAGGGGGGACGGAGAAGGCUAUGUUGGCCGGGCGACGGUUGUCCCGGUUUAAGCGUGUAGGCUGGUUUUCCAGGCAAAUCCGGAAAAUCAAGGCUGAGGCGUGAUGACGAGGCACUACGGUGCUGAAGCAACAAAUGCCCUGCUUCCAGGAAAAGCCUCUAAGCAUCAGGUAACAUUAAAUCGUACCCCAAACCGACACAGGUGGUCAGGUAGAGAAUACCAAGGCGCUUGAGAGAACUCGGGUGAAGGAACUAGGCAAAAUGGUGCCGUAACUUCGGGAGAAGGCACGCUGAUAUGUAGGUGAAGUCCCUCGCGGAUGGAGCUGAAAUCAGUCGAAGAUACCAGCUGGCUGCAACUGUUUAUUAAAAACACAGCACUGUGCAAACACGAAAGUGGACGUAUACGGUGUGACGCCUGCCCGGUGCCGGAAGGUUAAUUGAUGGGGUUAGCGGUAACGCGAAGCUCUUGAUCGAAGCCCCGGUAAACGGCGGCCGUAACUAUAACGGUCCUAAGGUAGCGAAAUUCCUUGUCGGGUAAGUUCCGACCUGCACGAAUGGCGUAAUGAUGGCCAGGCUGUCUCCACCCGAGACUCAGUGAAAUUGAACUCGCUGUGAAGAUGCAGUGUACCCGCGGCAAGACGGAAAGACCCCGUGAACCUUUACUAUAGCUUGACACUGAACAUUGAGCCUUGAUGUGUAGGAUAGGUGGGAGGCUUUGAAGUGUGGACGCCAGUCUGCAUGGAGCCGACCUUGAAAUACCACCCUUUAAUGUUUGAUGUUCUAACGUUGACCCGUAAUCCGGGUUGCGGACAGUGUCUGGUGGGUAGUUUGACUGGGGCGGUCUCCUCCUAAAGAGUAACGGAGGAGCACGAAGGUUGGCUAAUCCUGGUCGGACAUCAGGAGGUUAGUGCAAUGGCAUAAGCCAGCUUGACUGCGAGCGUGACGGCGCGAGCAGGUGCGAAAGCAGGUCAUAGUGAUCCGGUGGUUCUGAAUGGAAGGGCCAUCGCUCAACGGAUAAAAGGUACUCCGGGGAUAACAGGCUGAUACCGCCCAAGAGUUCAUAUCGACGGCGGUGUUUGGCACCUCGAUGUCGGCUCAUCACAUCCUGGGGCUGAAGUAGGUCCCAAGGGUAUGGCUGUUCGCCAUUUAAAGUGGUACGCGAGCUGGGUUUAGAACGUCGUGAGACAGUUCGGUCCCUAUCUGCCGUGGGCGCUGGAGAACUGAGGGGGGCUGCUCCUAGUACGAGAGGACCGGAGUGGACGCAUCACUGGUGUUCGGGUUGUCAUGCCAAUGGCACUGCCCGGUAGCUAAAUGCGGAAGAGAUAAGUGCUGAAAGCAUCUAAGCACGAAACUUGCCCCGAGAUGAGUUCUCCCUGACUCCUUGAGAGUCCUGAAGGAACGUUGAAGACGACGACGUUGAUAGGCCGGGUGUGUAAGCGCAGCGAUGCGUUGAGCUAACCGGUACUAAUGAACCGUGAGGCUUAACCUUACAACGCCGAAGGUGUUU
rnacentral:rRNA from 1 species